rnacentral:tRNA from 1 species
CCAUCGGUGGUUCAGUGUAGAAUGCUUACCUGCCACGCGGGUGGCCUGGGUUCGCUUCCCGGCCGAUGCA